GAUGAACGCUGGCGGCGUGCCUAAUACAUGCAAGUCGAGCGAACAGACGAGGAGCUUGCUCCUCUGACGUUAGCGGCGGACGGGUGAGUAACACGUGGAUAACCUACCUCUAAGACUGGGAUAACUUCGGGAAACCGGAGCUAAUACCGGAUAAUAUAUUGAACCGCAUGGUUCAAUAGUGAAAGACGGUUUUGCUGUCACUUAUAGAUGGAUCCGCGCCGCAUUAGCUAGUUGGUAAGGUAACGGCUUACCAAGGCAACGAUGCGUAGCCGACCUGAGAGGGUGAUCGGCCACACUGGAACUGAGACACGGUCCAGACUCCUAAGGGAGGCAGCAGUAGGGAAUCUUCCGCAAUGGGCGAAAGCCUGACGGAGCAACGCCGCGUGAGUGAUGAAGGUCUUCGGAUCGUAAAACUCUGUUAUUAGGGAAGAACAAAUGUGUAAGUAACUAUGCACGUCUUGACGGUACCUAAUCAGAAAGCCACGGCUAACUACGUG
rnacentral:rRNA from 1 species